rnacentral:piRNA from 1 species
AACGUCGUCGUAUUGCUCUGAAG